CAUGAAAUGGGGAACCAGCUGUUUCAGUAUUUCUUCACCCACUGAGACGUAAAGAAAUCUUCAUAGCUCUAUUGCCAAGUACUCUGCUUUGUUUCUACGGUUGUGUGGUGGAACAACAUGAUCAGUGUAUUAUAUAGGAUUAUAUUAAUAGUGAAUUGUUAUUCACUUUAAUUGAGCAUAUAUUCAAGUUUCACUCUGCUGUCAAUAAGGAAACCUCUCAAAGGCAAAACAAGGAAAUGAAAAAAAGGAAACAUUUGGACUUGAGAGUGGCUGGAACUUCCUUUCCGCUUCACAGCUGUCAACAUCUGUAUCUGCCAACUCUGGACAGAUGUCUCAGCAGUAACACUAUCUCCAGUUAGAUAGGUGGGGUGGGGAGGCUUUUGGACUUUGUUUUGGCUGCAACUCCGCUGUAAAGAUGCCCAAACAUAGUCGUGUUCUCAGUGCUUGUUUAGUGCAGAGUCGACCGGAAAAAUGAAUAUGCUGGCCUAAGAAGUCUCUCUCUCUGUCUGAACUCAUCAACCUUUAUUUCAGACUUGCGGGAAGAAAAAAAAAAAAAAACACAAUUAUCACAGCUAUAUGCACUGUGCAGGUUUCAAUGUUGUGCAGGAUGCUAUAAACCACAGGUGUCAAACUCAAGGCCCGGGGGCCAGAUACGGCCCGCCACAUCAUUUUAUGUGGCCCGCCAAGACAAAUUGUGCAUCAAAUUUGUGUCAUGACUAGAAUUGCAAAUUUUCUUCAUUUUUAAUAAUAUCUUUUCUUUAAAAUAUCUGACCAGUUUUUACUCGUCUGAUUUGAAAACGAGUUAUUUGUCAGUUUGUUUUGUAGCUUAUACUGUAUAUAAUAUGAAGUGCUCAUACACUUAUUUGGGUUGACAGUCAUAAUGGCCCUCCGAAAGAAGCUAUUACUACAAUGCGGCCCGCUAAAAAGAAAAAAGUUUGACACCCCUGCUAUAAACGUAUGUCCUGUCCUGACUGUGACCUUGCAACCUGACCCACAGUUUCCUAUCUCCUCCCAUCCAAAAUCUUCACACCUGCACCUAAUUAAGUUCUUUCUCCCGUAUUCCCACCAUCAAACUAAGAAUCAUAUCAAGACGUGGGUUACAGAGGCUCUAUGACGAACCCGGCAUGACCCAAAUCCUGACCCUGAUCCAGAAAAUCAAACGGGGACUGAUGACAAAAAUAACAGCUGUAAUUAAGUCAGGCCCCUCAAACCAAAAGGACGGAAAUUCCGCUCUGUUUUUUUUUUUCUCUCUCUCCGCUUUGCAAAUCCAAACUUGGCCCGUCUAACUAAUGAAGGCAUUUUUAUAGUUAUGGUGCAUUCCUUAUUUUAAGAUGAUGGCCAUUUUAUGAUUUGAACCAUCUCAUUUAAUGCAAACAGAAUUUGAAAUAUGCAGGUUGUCUAGGACUCUUACAAUGCCAAACUAUAACUAAACAAAUAAAAUAGACAUUUGCAAUAAGGUUACAUCUGUACUUGCACAAUCCAGCUUCGCAGUUCCGUUUGUGACAUUUCCUUUCAAACAUCUAAAACACAAGGACACACCAGAUGGCCAUUUGGCAACACCUUUUGCCUCAAUAGUUAACCUCAACUUGUAUUUUCUACUUUCUUCUCAAUUUUUAAUUGAAAAUAAGGGUUUUAUAUUCCGUUCCAUUAUCUAUGUAUUCUACUCUAUUCUAUUCCAUUCCAUUCUAUUCCGCUGUUAACUUAACAUCCUGAUGGAGGGUCCAAAAUGUGUGUGAAUUUCACAAUCCUUUCUCUCUUCUUAGCGCUUUGGUGCAAGUUGUUGUUUGUCAGUUAUUCACACUAAAAUUUUACAGCUCCCCUUGUAGGCCGUGUUUUUCUUUUCCCACACAUAAUUCUGAAGCCUUAACACCAUCGCAGCAGGGACACACUAAAUCAAAUGUUUGCUCGGGUUGUUGAUGCGUAUUCUAAUUUGCAAAUUUCAAAGCGCUGAGGCAGUUUAGGUUGUCAAAAUUACAUUUGAAAAAAAGGUUUGCAUGGCAAAGAAUAUAAAGUACACUAACUGCUUGUCAUUCUUAGUAAAACUGCUUUUGAAUAACCAUUGAAUGUAAGAAAUGCAAUUCUAAUCCAGGACGGCAAAAAGCCCUGUGGUCCUCUUGUCCUACAUUUUCAAAGUUGACAAUACGUAUUGAGGGUUUCAAUGUCCUUCUUGUAAAUUUCCACUUGAACAUAUUCAAAUGUAAGCAUUUCUGGACUUCAAUGAUGAUGCAGGUCUGCACACAGCUUGUUGAGUCACAUUGAAAUUAAGUUGGAAACAUCUGGUCCCUCUUACUCACAAAGCCUGUAACCCAGGGUCUUGCCCAAACAGACCAAAUAAAACAGCCACAAGUGUACCGGCCAAUGAAUGAUACACACAGAAACAGAAUUUAGGAUUUCCUAGCUCUGUAUCUCGACGCGGAGAUGCCAUGAGGACACAAAACAGACUUCUACUCCUUUGAAACAAUAUCCAUCCCGAGGCCUCCCCGCUUUUGUACAUUGCCCUUACACUAAAAUGGGCCAUAAAGCAUGCUCUUUGUAGCUUUUUUUACCUCAUUUUACUUAAGCCGCAUGUGCAAUGAACAACAGGACCUAGCGAUUUCAUUCAAGCACUAAUUGAACUCUUAGUCUGGAUCAGGUCAAUCAGGUCCAUGUACAGGUCCUGGUAGGCUGCUGCCAAGAACCAGCUUUCUUCUCCUCUGUUUAAUCUCUGACCUACUUCUCACACACACCCAAACAAUGAUGCUUGAGAUAAUCCAGCAGAUGCGCAAUAACAUCUGCUGCAAAAAGAUGGAAGGGGUUCAACAAGAGGAGGAGGUGAGGCAAGGCAAGGGGUGUGUCUUCUGGACUUUGACAUGCUUAACGCCCUUUGGUGGGCAUCGGGUCCAUCGUUGUAAACAAUGCAAGCAGGUGACAACUAAUGUAUACAUUGAUGUUCUUUUUCUCCACCUCUGAAUGACAAGCUUAGUGAUUUGACUUCGCACCCUUGUUUUAGACUUUUGUCAUGUGUCUUACUUCCUGCUUUGACAGAUUUGCAGAGGAAGGUAUAUGCCAGACAAUAUGGAAAUAUGAGAAUAAAAUGGAUUCCUUUGAGGCCAAUGUAGACACUUCCUAAGCCAUUUGAGUUGGCAUAGACUUCUUUCAAUUUUAGGUGGCAGCUGAUCCAGUAAUUUUAUUUUUCCUUCCUUAUUCAAAGGUCAACUGGUCUGAGUGUUUAAUCAUAAAUGGCAUGAAGCAGCUCCUCCACUGAUUCUCCCUUCCAACACUAACAUUGUCCUCUUUAUCGGUCUUGCCUUUCAUCUUCCAAAUCCCGCAUUUGGUCUGCAUCAACGCAGCGUAGAAACAAAAGGAGACGGGCACUCAGGAAGUACAGUAAAAGAGUAUAAUAUAUGUAGUUUCAUUGGUCUGCCAUCUGUUGCCAUCUCUUCCACUGUGGGGAUUUAAAAGUUAAUCUAUGGUAAGAGCAUCCAAUUGGGCUGCUACAACAAAGGCUAUGUUGUCAAUAACUGAAUACAAAUUUGAAGUAAAUCUACAUUGAGAAGAGAGAAGAAAAGUAUGGCAGUUACAAAACAAUAUACUAUCGUCAUAUCAUAGCUAUGUUUUGAAAACUAAUGUCAUACUACAACAGAUCAUUUUUAAAAACCUGCUGAUGUUUUUCUAUUAUUAUCCUUAUAAUGUCCUGUGCCGUGUUUAUUUUCUUGUUUAUUUGGUAAAUUGAGCUCUAAAAAAAUGAUAAAAUUACCAAAAAAAUCUUAAAUUGCUUUUGUCAGCAGUUGGAGGACCGGUUAUCUCUUUCCAAAUACUUCUGUUUAUAUCGUACAUAAACGUAGUAAAUGGUGAAUAACUGUGAUUAGAAACUUAACGGUCUGUAGGAUAACAAUUGAGGUGAACAACCUUUUGGAAUCCCAAUGCAGCUCAGCUGUGGUGAAGGUUAAACAAUGUUAUCAAAUGGAACCAGAUGCAGCCAAAAUUCCAAUAGAGAUACUACAGUAACUAGCUGACAAUGAUUGUGACCCGUAGUGUCACAAGGUGGCAGGUGUCGUUUAAGACAUGUGUAACCAUAGUUUCAGCAGGAACAAAAAAAACACUGAAAUGGGCUGGAGAAGAAUACAGCUCCAGGGAGAGAGACAGCGGAAGGGAACUCAACGUGAUUAACUGUUUGGGAUAUGUUACAAAAAUAUAGCCUCAUGUUCUUUUGCGAGAUUACAAAAACAGUGACAUCAUAUGUAGAAUGCUUCAAGAGGACCUCUCUGUAAACAAAGAAAGGGGGCAUUCAUUUGUCCAAAGUUUUUUAUACUCAUGAUAUCACUUCCACGGUCCCUGAUCGGCCAUUGCGAUGAUAUGUGAUAAUGUCACACCUGUUUAAAGAAAUCUCUUCGAUAUAA